AUUGAACGCUGGCGGCAUGCCUUACACAUGCAAGUCGAACGGCAGCACGGGGUCUUGCCCCGGAUGGCGAGUUGCACACGUGUGAAUUGUACAUCGGACCGUGUCCUAUAGUGGGAUAACGCCCGGCAACAGGCGCAUUUAUACCGCAUACGCUCUACGGAUGAAUGCGGGGGACCUGACUGCCUCGCGCUAUAGGGUUGGUCGAUGGCUUAUUAGCUAGUUGGGGGGGUAAAGGCCUACCGAGGCGACGAUCAGUAUCUGGUCUGAGAGGACGACCAGCCACACUGGGACUGAGACACGGUCCAGACUCCUACGGGAGGCAGCAGUGGGGAAUUUUGGACAAUGGGCGAAAGCCUGAUCCAGCAAUGCCGCGUGUGUGAAGAAGGACUUCGGGUUGUAAAGCACUUUUGUCCGGAAAGAAAUCCAGGGCUUUAAUACGGUGUGGGGAUGACGGUACCGGAAGAAUAAGCACCGGCUAACUACGUG
rnacentral:rRNA from 1 species